GUCUGGGCGACGAGUCCCAAAUAGGACGAAAUGCGCAUCCUGGAU
rnacentral:hammerhead_ribozyme from 1 species